GGUCACACAGGGCCAUCUACACCUACUGCUCCCAGAUCUGCGACCCCCGGAUCACGGGCAGUUUCUGGCAGACGUGGAAGGAGUUUGAGAUCCGGCACGGCAACGAGGACACGAUCCGGGAGAUGCUGCGGAUCAAGCGCAGCGUCCAGGCCACCUACAACACGCAGGUCAACUUCAUGGCCUCGCAGAUGCUCAAGGCGUCCGGCAGCGCCACCGGCACCGUGUCAGACCUGGCCCCGGGGCAGAGCGGGUUGGAUGACAUGAAGCUGCUGGAGCAGCGGGCGGAGGCUCUGGCGGCCGAGGCGCAGCGGGACACGCCCCGGCCCCCCCAGCAGGUGCUGUUC